rnacentral:rRNA from 1 species
UACGAAGGGUGCAAGCGUUACUCGGAAUUACUGGGCGUAAAGCGUGCGUAGGUGGUUCGUUAAGUCUGCCGUGAAAGCCCCGGGCUCAACCUGGGAAUGGCGGUGGAUACUGGCGGACUAGAGUGCGGUAGAGGGUGGUGGAAUUCCCGGUGUAGCAGUGAAAUGCGUAGAGAUGUGGAGGAACACCGAUGGCGAAGGCGAGUCUCUGGGAUGAUGCUGACGCUGAUGCGCGAAAGCCAGGGGAGCAAACGGG